CUGGCUCAGGAUGAACGCUAGCUACAGGCUUAACACACGCAAGUCGAGGGGCAGCAUGGGAGUUGCUUGCAACUCUGAUGGCGACCGGCGCACGGGUGAGUAACGCGUAUCCGACCUUCCCCCAGGUAGGGAACAGCCCGGCGGAAGUCGGAUUAAUGCCCUAUAGUCUGCGAAUUGCGCAUGUUGUUUGCAGUAAAGAUUUAUCGCCUUGGGAUGGGGAUGCGUCUGAUUAGCUUGUCGGCGGGGUAACGGCCCACCGAGGCAACGAUCAGCAGGGGUUCUGAGAGGAAGGUCCCCCACACUGGUACUGAGACACGGACCAGACUCCUACGGGAGGCAGCAGUGAGGAAUAUUGGUCAAUGGGCGCGAGCCUGAACCAGCCAAGUAGCGUGCAGGAACCGACGGCCCUAUGGGUUGUAAACUGCUUUUAUGCGGGGAUAACGUGCGCCACGUGCUGGUGUAUUGCAGGUACCGCAUGAAUAAGGACCGGCUAAUUCCGUGCCAGCCGCAGC
rnacentral:rRNA from 1 species